UUCUUAUCAGCAGUGAGGUGUUGCCUAUUAACACAGGUGAAAUCUUUCAGCUCUUGAUCUCACUGUUUUAAGGAGCAGAGGUAAAAUAUCCUGUAGUGAAGGAGGUAUUGCUGCUUUGAGCUGUCCUGUAUGAUGUGGCUGAGGGAGCCAUGUGCAGUGCAUCUAUGCACUUUUUGGAUGCGAAUUGGAAAUAAGGUGCUGAUUUUGGUGAAAGGCUGUGAUAGAGCUGCUAAAAAGAAAGAACAAAAACCACAUAACUGGAGAGAUAUGUAAACAUUUUGCAUCAGAUUUGCAUCUACGAAUCCUGCUGACAGCUACAUUCUUUGGAGACUGUGCUGACCACAAAGCUGAGUGUGAAGCUGGGGAUGCAGCAUUCUCUGUUCAGGGCAUCUGGCUGAACAACCAUACAGAGGAAAACAGCUUAAGGAAAUACUGAAAAAGCCAUUUCAGCCCCAGAAAAUGCAGCAAACAAUUUGAACACCUUUCUCCCUCUCUCUCCAUCUCAAAUUCUUAUCUGAGAAAGCCAUAUCCCAACAAAGCUUUGACCUUCAAUGUACUGGAGACUCCCUAAAUCCCUCUGUGCACUUUGGAAUUGCAAAUGCCUCCAUAUAGUGCCAGGGCUCCUGGCAGCAAUAUAAGACACAGAGAGGUAUGGAAGAAGUAAUGUGCUUCCCACAUCUAAAACCAUUGAGGGUGCAGGUGAAUCAGAGGUGAAGAAAGAUGGAGGCAAGAGCUGGGCAAGUUGAUCAGCUAUUUUCAUUCCCUAUGCCAACGAAGAGGCCAGCCCCUGACACUUGAGAUCAUUUGGGGAAAAUGAUAGUCCUGCUGCCUGUUGAAGAGGUUUACAUUAUCC
rnacentral:lncRNA from 1 species